GUAUUAGCGUGCAGGGGAAAUACCAUGCUCAUGAAAGUGGUUUUCCCAGGGUGAGCCUCAUCCAUUACACUUCAGGUGUGCUGAUCCCUGUGAUUUCUCCAAAUGUGGGGAACUCAACUGCGUAAUUCGUGGUAAUGGGGGAUUGAAUUUGUGCUUCCCCUGG
rnacentral:snRNA from 1 species